rnacentral:misc_RNA from 1 species
UCUUGAGUCUAAGGCCAGUAUGCUAAUACCAUAAAGCCCGAAUCAUAAGAUAAUUGGAAUUCCCCAUAUGAGAAAAAUCGCAUAAUUCUUUUCUUAUGAACAAAAAGCCAUGAAUUCUACAUAAAACUAGUAAAUUGCAAAUAAAUAAAACGUGAAAAAGAAAACCAACAAAAAUUUUUUCUGUUAAAAGUAAAUCUUGAGAUUGCCCAGCAAAAUCCCUUAAAAAAUAGGGAGAAGGGAUUACAAUUCACAGACCCAAAAGAAAAUAACAAAAAGAAAUAAAAACGUUCGAUUUAGGGGGAAAAAACUUGGAAAAGGAUAAGAAGAAAUCCAAAUCAAAUCUUGACCAACCUGAGCCUUAAUUGACCUUUGAAG